CGUGCGGUUCUAUUUUGUUGGUUUCUAGAGUCGCCGUAAUGAUUAAUAGGGAUAGUUGGGGGCAUUAGUAUNCAGUUGCUAGAGGUGAAAUUCUUGGAUUUACUGAAGACUAACUACUGCGAAAGCAUUUGCCAAGGAUGUUUUCAUUAAUCAAGAACGAAGGUUAGGGGAUCGAAAACGAUCAGAUACCGUUGUAGUCUUAACAGUAAACUAUGCCGACUAGGGAUCGGGCGAUCUCACUUUUAUGUGUCGCUCGGCACCUUACGAGAAAUCAGAGUCUUUGGGUUCUGGGGGGAGUAUGGUCGCAAGGCUGAAACUUAAAGGAAUUGACGGAAGGGCACCACCAGGAGUGGAGCCUGCGGCUUAAUUUGACU
rnacentral:rRNA from 1 species